UUUAAAAUGCAUAAGGUUCGAUAGGAAAAAAAUUAAUAAAAAUACAAGCGUAUUUAAUGUAUAAUAAAAAGUAACAUCAUCUAAAAGACUAAACUGAGGAGAGAACUUUAUUGUAGAAAAUUAAUUAAAUAUUACAAAUGGUGGAUUUUUUUUAAAGUAACCAUCACAUUUACACGCUUAAUCGUGCGAAAAAGAGCACCUUUUUUGUCAUCAAUAUAAAAGUUAACAGGAGGAUGAUCAGGGUUACAAUGUGCGAUGAGCACACCGUCGAUUUUCUGUCUCAAAAAAUUGAGAAACCUCGAGAAAUCCCGCGAAGGAUAUGCAAAUGAUUGGUCUUCAAUCAGUCGUUUACCAGAUGAAAUCAUCCUCCAAAUAUUAAACAGAUUAAUCGAUUUAAAAACCCUUUGCUUUUGCUAUCUGGUUUCCAGACGUUUCUCCUCGAUUGUACUUGAAGUCGAUGCGAUUUCCUUCGCUUCUCCUCUCUCAAACCCUCGCAUUUCCAAUAAGAACACCGUCAGUGAUGUCGCCCCAAGUUCGUCGUUUGCGCGUAUCAUUUCGUCGUUAUACGGUGAGUCGUUUCUAUCUGCCUAUAGGUUUUUGAUCAAGUUUAAAGGAGUGAAGUCUUUAUGUAUCGAACUUCUAUCUUCGGGUCUUCGUGCUGUCGAUAAUCGUUUGUUAAAGUGGAAGGUUAAGUUUGGUAACAGAAUCGAAUCGAUUAUAUUUCUGUUCCCGAAUUCAAUUUCUGAUAACGAUGGAUUAUAUCUCAAUGGAAAUGGGGAUGAAGAUGAAAACAAAAGACGUCGCAUUCCGUAUCAGUGUCUGAAGGAUGUGACGGCUAGGCAUAUGAUGAUGUUGUACUUGGUUAAGGAUCUGCCAUUGUUGGAAGAGGUUUCUGUUACUGAUUCCAGGGGAAGAGGGAGGCUUUCUCUGAGUGGGAAAAAACUCAGUGGGGUGAAGGAAUGGGUACAUUCAACUUCGGAAACUGUGUUCAAUCGUGUAGAGGUUCCUGAUAUAGUAAAUAACUGUUAUAUUCCGGUUUUGAAGUUGCCAGUUUCAGGGUACGUGAUGAAGGGGAUAUAUUUUGGUGUAAUUGAGAUGAAUGGUUUCCAGGGUGGAAAUGAUUUUCUUAUGAACAGUGAAAAUGGUGGUUUUGAAGAUAAAGAAGAGGCUGCAUAUACCGAAGCUAUGAUGGAGAUUUUGGAAAAGCAUAAGGGAAUCAUGCAUAGGUUUAUGUAGUAUGAAUCAGGUGCAUUGUCUGAACCUCAAUAUUCUUAUAAGUUCCAUAUCUUAAUCAAUUAUUUUCUACCAUAGUUUUUUCUUCUUGAAAUGAAAAAUCAGGGGCUGUUUGGUAGUUACUGUCCGAGAAGUUCUUACUGCAUCUGUUUCUGAUUGAAAUAAUAUUGUUUGAUUAUAUUUCUAACUGACUGUGCUAAAUGAGAAAAUUGACAACUUUACUCUUUUAUUUUAUUUAUGUAAGCUAAAAUAUAUCUUUUUGCAUGCAAAUUUAACUUCGACAAAUAUCAUUAAAUAAAUAAAAGGUCCAAAUGUAAUGCAUGAAUUACCUCCAUAUCAUUUAAAAAUUAACACUUUUAAGGAACAAUAAAUUUUAUUUAUUUUAAAAACAAUAAUAUAGCUAAAUGUAAUAGGCAUGUGAAGAACCCAAUCACAUGUCGGUGAUAUUUUCAACCUCCUUUUAAUAAAUUAAUACCUACCCUUUAUUUUCUUUUCACUUUCCCUUUCAUUCAAUUCUAGAGAGAGAAUGGGAUAUCACCCAAUCUCCAUAAAAAAGUUGCAGCUCUUUUCCAUGGAACCUCCAUGCCUCCCUGAACCAUCGAUCAUGAUAACACCACCACUACAAAUCUCAACUUUUAUUCCCUAUCGGUGGGGGAAGAAUAGGUAAAAGGGUGCUCCCCUCUCAUUCUCUCUCAUGAAGAUGCCAUUUUUUGGUUGGGGUUAAAAGGAUGAACAUGGGUCGUGGUGUUUGUGGUGGGUUUCCUGGUUCUUGUGUGCGUGAACAUGGCAUAUAUAUGUUCGGUUUUGUGUUAGCUGGAAUGUGUGAUGCAAAGGGCAAAACUGUGAAGAAAACAAAGAGGACUGAGUCAGCUACUUUCAUUUUACUUACCGAGUCAGAGGGUGCUGACUGAGUUUCAUGGUUUUAUUUCACAUAUCAAACACGCUGACCCACAUUGAUCUGACCGAGUAAGACAUUUUUGUCUGACCGGACUCGAUCAGACUUAAAUCAAACAGGGCCUCAAUUAGGUUGCAUAUUAAGCUCGGCAACAUGUUAGAGGCAUUAAAGCUUUUGGAUGCACAGAAGCUGCUCAUUGGUUGGUUAAUCGUAUGGAAUGAAGUUGUAUAGUAUAAAGCGGACGUGGUUACAGUUUUAAAUGUUGUUUCUGCUUUGAAAGUUAAUUUAUAAAAUGUUACUUUGAAAAUUUGUAGAUUUUGAUUAAUUACAUGUAUUGUAAUAUAUUUCUUGUAUUUAAUGUCA